ACAGCUGAUAUAUGAUAAUGUGAUGGCUCAAUUUCUGAAUUAUCACAUUAUAAUUCGAACCUGUGGAUUUUCCCCUUUGUGGAAAAAUCUAGGUCGUUUCACGGUGUUUCUCCAACACACAGAAAUAUUAUAUCAAAAAAGACUAUGAGCCUAAUUCUCCCGCAUGCCCAAGCGUUCAGCGCCAAACCAAAAACCAAAUCUAAACCAGGGUUGGUUUCCAGCGACAAAAAAGAAAGAAAAUACUAGAAAAUAAAAAAAACCUAAACCUUAUCUCCUCAGCCCCACACGGACGCACACCACGUCCAACUCCAACACAUGGACAGAACCAGUCCGCAUGCCGCAUGCCGCAACCUCCGCCUCCGCUACGCUCUGGGCACGCCGCCUCGCUCCGCCUCCACCACCAGCCCGCCCACCCUCACCCUCUCUGCUCCCUUCACCGCUCCCUCCACUUCAUCGCACGCUAGUACUCAUGGAGACAGCUCUUGAGGCCGUGGUUCCCUUCCCUAGCCUUGUCCCCCUGUCAUCCUCUAGAUCUAGCUCGAGGAGCACGUGAAGGAAGCCAUGCCGGUGGCGAAUCUGUGGAAAUUCGAUGACAGGUGGUUUCUUUCCUCCUAUUUUUCAUUCAUGUACUGGAUCGCAGGUCGAAUUUGAUUUCUUCCCCUUCCUACAGUUCCGAUAGAUUACAAUCUGCUUCUCUUGGAUCUAGGGUUGGUUUAUUUGGGAGGGCAAAUCACUUACCCUAGAGCUGCUCGAGAAAGAGAAGAUUACUGGAUAGUGCACAUGGAAGAUCGAUAGGGCUACAGCUAAAGGGGAAGUCGAUUCGGUCUUCAUGCGACUUCUGAGUCUUUCUAGUGAGCAACCAUAUACAUGGAACCAAAAUCCUCUCUCUGACAAUUAAUUAGCUAUUUAGAAGACCUUAGCGUGGUUUCUAGAACAUGAUUCAGGUUGUAUUUUAUUUUGUGGACCUGUCAUAUCUCCUCUUAGUUAUGAUUUUCCAUAGUUAAUUCCUUCCUAUCUACACUAUACAUUAGAGUAUCAAAUAUAUUUUUAGCAUGGUACAGUACUUAUUAUAAGUCACCAAUAGGAUGAACCAUUCAUACUCCACAACAUGCCAAGUCCUUAUUAUAACUAGGAAAAUAAUUUUCAGACAUCUCUUUCUCAGUUUUAUGCCAGUAGAAAUAGUAUAGAUAUACCACAGAUCUAAUUUUUUUUUAGAUCUGAACAAAAUUUAAUUUUAGACUAGAUCAUGUGAUUUACUAUCAAUGUAUUACUUGAAAUUGCUUGUAGGAUUACUAUAUAGCAGGUGGCUGUGAAGUCAGUUUCAGUACAUAAACCAUAGUGCUCUUUGCAUGUGCACCUUCUCUUUUUCAUCGUGAAGUAUUAUGAGCCUUGAAUUUCAGCAGAUAGGGCAUGUUUCUCUCUAUAAAAAUUGAAACUAACACAUGACAAUUUUUCCUUAGUUUACCUAGCCAGCUGA
rnacentral:lncRNA from 1 species